rnacentral:rRNA from 1 species
GAUCAACGCUGGCGGCGCACAUAAGACAUGCAAGUUGAACGGACUUAAUCGAAAUAUUUAUCUUUUGAAGCGGUUAGUGGCGGACUGGUGAGUAACGCGUAAGGAACCUGCCUAUUAGAGGGGAAUAACAGUGAGAAAUCAUUGCUAAUACCGCAUAUGCCAUAGAUAUCACAUGAUAACAGUGGGAAAGGAGCAAUCCGCUAAUAGAUGGCCUUGCGUCUGAUUAGAUAGUUGGUGGGGUAACGGCCUACCAAGUCGACGAUCAGUAGCCGGACUGAGAGGUUGAACGGCCACAUUGGGACUGAGAUACGGCCCAGACUCCUACGGGAGGCAGCAGUCGGGAAUAUUGCGCAAUGGAGGAAACUCUGACGCAGUGACGCCGCGUAGAGGAAGAAGGUUUUCGGAUUGUAAACUAUUGUCGUUAGGGAAGAGAAAGGACAGUACCUAAGGAGGAAGCUCCGGCUAACUACGUG